rnacentral:rRNA from 1 species
GGGCGAGAGUAGUAUUAGGAUGGGUGACCUCCUGGGAAGUCCUCGUGUUGCACCCC